AAUGAUCACCGAAGUCAAGCAUCAUUGGGCGCGGUCAGUACUUGGGUGGGUGACCACCUGGGAACACUGCGUGCCGUU